rnacentral:tRNA from 1 species
CAUUAGAUGGCUGAAAGCAAGCACUGGUCUCUUAAACCACUUAAUAGUAGUCUAGCCCCUACUUCUAAUG